rnacentral:rRNA from 1 species
AGAGUUUGAUCAUGGCUCAGGAUGAACGCUAGCGGCAGGCCUAAUACAUGCAAGCUGAACGGUAAAUAUUGCAGCAAUGCAAUAUGAGAGUAGCGUAAGGGUGCGUAACACGUAUGCAAUCUGCCCUGUACAGGAGGAUAGCUCGGCGAAAGCCGGAUUAAUACUCCGUAACAUAUUGAUAGGGCAUCCUAUUAAUAUUAAAGUCGCAAGACGGUAUGGGAUGAGCAUGCGUCUGAUUAGCUAGUUGGUAGUGUAAUGGACUACCAAGGCGAUGAUCAGUAGGGGAACUGAGAGGUUGAUCCCCCACACUGGCACUGAGAUACGGGCCAGACUCCUACGGGAGGCAGCAGUAGGGAAUAUUGGUCAAUGGAUGCAAGUCUGAACCAGCCAUGCCGCGUGCAGGAAGAAGGCCUUCUGGGUUGUAAACUGCUUUUGCCGGGGGAUAAAAUUCCCAUGCGUGGGACAUUGAAGGUACCCGGUGAAUAAGCCACGGCUAACUACGUGCCAGCAGCCGCGGUAAUACGUAGGUGGCAAGCGUUGUCCGGAUUUAUUAGGUUUAAAGGGUGCGUAGGCGGCCUAUUAAGUCAGUUCUGAAAUAUCCCGGCUUAACCGGGAGGGUGGGAUUGAUACUGAUGGGCUUGAGUGGAAUCGAGGUAGGCGGAAUUGACGGUGUAGCGGUGAAAUGCUUAGAUAUCGUCAAGAACACCGAUAGUGUAGACAGCUUACUAGACUUCAACUGACGCUGAGGCACGAAAGUGUGGGGAUCAAACAGGAUUAGAUACCCUAGUAGUCC